AGGCGACGACGGGUAGCCGGCCUGAGAGGGUGACCGGCCACACUGGGACUGAGACACGGCCCAGACUCCUACGGGAGGCAGCAGUGGGGAAUAUUGCGCAAUGGGCGAAAGCCUGACGCAGCGACGCCGCGUGGGGGAUGACGGCCUUCGGGUUGUAAACCUCUUUCAGCAGGGACGAAGCGGAAGUGACGGUACCUGCAGAAGA
rnacentral:rRNA from 1 species